rnacentral:rRNA from 1 species
AGCGAACGCUGGCGGCAGGCCUAACACAUGCAAGUCGAGCGCCCCGCAAGGGGAGCGGCAGACGGGAGAGUAACACGUGGGAACGUACCCUUUGGUCCGGAACAACCCAGGGAAACUUGGGCUAAUACCGGAUAAGCCCUUACGGGGAAAGAUUUAUCGCCGAAGGAUCGGCCCGCGUCUGAUUAGCUAGCUGGUGGGGUAACGGCCCACCAAGGCGACGAUCAGUAGCUGGUCUGAGAGGAUGAUCAGCCUCACUGGGACUGAGACACGGCCCAGACUCCUACGGGAGGCAGCAGUGGGGAAUAUUGGACAAUGGGCGCAAGCCUGAUCCAGCCAUGCCGCGUGGGUGAUGAAGGCCCUAGGGUUGUAAAGCCCUUUCGGCGGGGAAGAUAAUGACGGUACCCGCAGAAGAAGCCCCGGCUAACUUCGUGCCAGCCGCCGCGGUAACAC